UUCCUUUUGAGGGUCGUACUUCUGUGCGAUCUGUUCGGGCAGAGUGAUCAAAGGUCACGUGUGUUCCACCAGCAGCGAUAAUGGCCGGACUGGGUUUUGGUCCCCAUGAGGUCUAAAGGUCCCGACAAAGUCGAUGUUUAUACCGGAAAAGGUCCCAAAGAGCAUUCCACCAGCAGAUGGAGUCCUGCAUUAUCUGAAAGGAUACAAGUCAAACAGCAGAACGUGUUCCUGAAACAUGAAGCAACAUGCAGGAUGCUGCACCAGUAAACCAGACUGGUUGCAUGAAACACUUCAGCCAUUUGAGGGCAUCAGUGAUGGUGAAGCUGAACCUCAAGGAUAGUGAACAGGCUGGAUCGGAUCUUUGUGGAUGCAUUAAAUUAGUAUUAGGAAAGCAAAACAGGGAGAUAUACUUUAGUGUUGCAAUAGAAUACAAUGAGUUGAGGUCGUGGGUGAAUGAGGGUGGAGAAAGUUCAUACUUUUACUACAUGCAAAAUAUCCAGUCAACCCUUUAAAAGUUAGUGUGGACAGAGUGAGAGAGGGAAGGGCAAACACUGGACGUGAGGCUGCAGAGUGGGUGAGAAAGUUGACUCUUAUACCAGUUACUGGGGCUGUAAUCGCAGUACAACUAAUGCUCCAUUUCACUGUGUUCAAGUGCUGUUUGUAGUCCACCUAAUGACAAAACAAGAUUACAAUAUCUCCGCUUAUUCAGAUAUAUUUAUUUUCAUUUCAUUUACAAAUAAUAAUGCAAAGAUACAAAGACAGAAGCCUUCACACGAGAAAAAUACAUCAGGUACAGUUCAAACAGAAGCAUAUCUUAUCUUUAGUAUAGCACACAUUUACAGCCAACUUGGGUUCUUUUGGUCCGAUUUGACAGUUAGAAUAGAAAACACACAAAUUGAAGAACAAAGUCUUGAACCAGUCAUUUUUAAAGGGUUAGCUCAAAAAAGUACCAACUCACCAAGCUGUGCUGCAGAAUGCUAGAUUUUGCAUAUUCUAUGAGCGUAUGUUUCCUGUUGCUGUGAGUGCACUCUAGUAACACAGUGCACUCCUUCACGGCAGUAAAAUGCAUGUGCAGUGUUUGGAGUAGUAUCACUGUACUCAAAAACAAAAUACAUUAUAUAACAAUUUAGCUGCCAUUGUAUGAGGCUUGAACCAGCAGGACUGUCCUCAAAAUGCACACAAAGGAUUCAUAGAUGUGGGUAGCCCACUGAGUGACCAUCCGUGAAUAUCACUCUUCCUGAUUCAGCUUCCUGAUUCACUUUGUUUUUACAUGUUGUGUCACAAAGUCAGUCUACACAUAUCGCCUGACUUUACAGUAUUUAUUUUUGCUAUUUCUUACAUUAUUUCUUACUGUAUGUCUAUUGUUAUUUCUCAGACAAGAUGUGUAUUGUAAUAUUCACUACAAAAUAGUGUUUGACAGCAGGUUUAUAAAACAUAGGCAGAACUGAGUAAUUUAAAGCACAAAUGUUAUGGUAUUUUCUGAGAUAUCGUGGAAUUGAGUAUCAUGCAAAAAAAAAAAAAAAAAGAGAUUUCCCAGGUACGGAGCAGGAUAUAUCAGUCACAUCUCAUUAAAUUAUGCUGCAAGAAUUUCAGCAAUUAUGUUCACUGUAAACAAUUCAUCGAUAAGUUCAAAUAUUUAUAUGAAUAAUAAUUUGUAUCCCAAUAAAAUAAUUUGAUAGAGAAGAAAAAAAGGAGAGGAUGUGUUUAGAGGGACAGGUUGAAAUGUCUCAGUAUUCUCAUGCAUGUAUGGCUGUUUUGAGCUUUGGCUUUUUGAUUCACCUGUUGAUUUAACACUGAAAGAAAGAAGAUUUGCUGUAAAACUAAAUCAAAUAAAAUCUCAAUAGUACCUGUUGUCUUCUGAUGGCAUGCAGCUGCUCACAGCAAGAGCAGGAAGGGGAAUUUAUAGAGAAUUAAAUAAAAAAAAGUGCUUUCAGGGCCUUGAAAUGCAGAGAGAUGAAGUACAAAGAAAAUCUAAUCAUUCAUACAACUUUAAAACCUCAUUAAAUAGAAUAUAUCAUUUCAUGGUUGUAAUAUUGACAUUAUUAUCAUAGCAUUGAAAUUGCAUGACUGAUUCACUGAUAAAUCUGGUAGUUGAACAGCAAACACACUGUGAGUGGUUCAUAUGUAGUCUUGUAGAGUAUUUGAGUCUUGUAGAGUAUUUGAAACAUUUUGUGGAGAGAAAAACAAACAUUGCUCUGUUGUAAACUCUUGUCUGUGUAAACACUGGUGUAAUACCAAUGGAUACCUGAACAUUGAUGCAUAACAGGCCACACAUCAGUCAGAGCUACUGUAUCUACAUGAGCACAAAAAAAGUUUGGGAGAAAUACCAAAAACCGAAAGAUGGACCUACAAAGAUGUCAGGCUCACGAUAAAGUCUGAGGUCCAGCAGAGAAUUUUCGAGCCACGAUGACAUAUUGCAGCACAGUAUUUCUCAGUGCAUUUUCUCACUUUGACAUCAUAUUACAUAAAGCACGAAAAACACUGUUCCUACCAUACAGCAAUAUACAAAGCUAGUCUAUAGAUUUACCAUGACAUAAUACAGCUCUGUGGGUGUUGCACAGAAAAUAAGCACAUACUGUAUAUUGCAGUGUAAAACAUAGUACCGAACAAACAGCUUCUACAUGUGCAUAAAAAGGCUGAUUACCAUAUUUCUGAUGCUGUCAGGCUUCACUUACUGUAGCAGUUACAUAGCCUACACAUGACGCUGAAUUAAAAAGAGACAAAAGACAGUUUUACCAAACAAGAAAAACAAAAACACUUAGACGAACAAAGCUCACCCUGCCCUUCAAAAGAAAUAAAACCAAAAAGGGCAAAUCAUGUCAAGAGAUUCAUGCAAUCACAAAAGUAUUAAAAUAGAAAAAAAAACAAGCAAAACAAACCAAAAACACUGCAUCAUAAUUGAGAAACAUGAUGCAUCCAAAACAUUACAGUGGUGAAAAAAGGGGGGAAAAAACAUCUUCAAGCUCAACUGACUCGAUCACAUUUGUUAGAACAUUUUUGAUUUACAUUGUGUGAGAAUAAUGGUGAAAUGUGCUGAAACAGGAGGACCUUGACAUACAUCAACAAACAUACUGUUGCAGAGACAGAAAAGUGUUUUUCAUAGUGUAGAAUAUUGAUGGAAAAUGGUGAUAUAGUGUCUUAGAAAAUAAACUAUUUCUUCUCCUUUUAUGGGCAUUUUAAUAAUUAUUAUUCCUGCACUGAAUUACAACAUGGAUGCCAUAAAAUACUUCCUGUCUGGCACAAUAUCUUGAUAAUAUGCCUGCAGAUUUCAAUUGUACUCAUUUGAGAAAUUGCACUAUACAUGAAUUUUUAAAAACUAUUUUAAUAAUACAUUUUUAUUUGGCUAGUUAGUGAUUAAUUACAAUGUUUUUCCAGUUCAUUUAUUUGCUCAAACUGCUAUCACUAGCGAAAAGAGCUGUGACGCCGUGCAAAUCAGUUAUAGAGAACUCUGAUCAGCCCAAAAUACAAAUGUCGACUAGUUUCCCAAAUUUAAGGAACAACUGACAGCUAAAAUACUCAUUUAUUAAGUAAAAACGUGGCUCUUUUAAAUAGACUGUAUGUGUAUGACUUUUCAAAAAUAACUAUAAUUUAAUAUAGAUUUUUUUCCCUCCAUAUUUCUUUCUUUUUUUUUUUGUUUUUGUUUUUUUUUUUUUUUU